GGAUCCGUCGUCUAGCAUGGAUAGGGCACUUGGUUGCGGACCAAGACUUCGGGCGUUCAAGUCGCCCCGGAUCCG
rnacentral:tRNA from 1 species